rnacentral:rRNA from 1 species
GAUGAACGCUGGCGGCGUGCCUAAUACAUGCAAGUCGAGCGAACAGACGAGGAGCUUGCUCCUUUGACGUUAGCGGCGGACGGGUGAGUAACACGUGGGUAACCUACCUAUAAGACUGGGAUAACUUCGGGAAACCGGAGCUACUACCGGAUAAUAUUUCGAACCGCAUGGUUCGAUAGUGAAAGAUGGCUUUGCUAUCACUUAUAGAUGGACCUGCGCCGUAUUAGCUAGUUGGUAAGGUAACGGCUUACCAAGGCAACGAUACGUAGCCGACCUGAGAGGGUGAUCGGCCACACGGGAAGUGAGACACGGUCCAGACACCGAGGGGAGGCAGCGGUAGGGAAUCUUCCGCGAUGGGGGAAAGCCUGACGGAGCGACGCCGCGUGAAUGAUGAAGGUCUUCGGAUGGGAAAACGCUGUUAGUAGGGAAGAACAAACGUGCUAGUAACUGUGCACGUCUUGACGGUACCUAAACAAGAAGCCACGGCUAACUACGUG